CGUUGAUNNCAAAACNANGUNNCCGUAGACACGGCUACCCGUAACCUUCUGGUCUUGCGGCCGGUACGGGUGUAGAUAACCCGNGGGAAUAUGCCUCUUGGUACGGAAUAGCCUCGGGAAACUGGUAGUAUUACCGUAUGUGCCCUUUGGGGGAAAGAUUUAUCGCCAAGAGAUUAUCCCGCGUUGGAUUAGGUAGUUGGNGGGGUAAUGGCCUACCAAGCCGACCAUCCAUAGCUGGUUUGAGAGGAUGAUCACCCACACUGGGACUGAGACACGGCCCAAACUCCUACGGGAGGCAGCAGUGGGGAAUCUUAGACAAUGGGGGCAACCCUGAUCUACCCAUGCCGCGUGAGUGAUGAAGGCCUUAGGGUUGUAAAGCUCUUUCACCUGGGAAGAUAAUGACGUGUUACCA
rnacentral:rRNA from 1 species